GCGGGUGUGGUGGCGCAUGCCUAUAGUCCCAGCUAUUUGGAAGGCUGAGGCAGGAGGAUCGCUUGAGCCCAGGAGUUCUGGGCUGUAGUGCACUAUGCCGAUCGGGUGUCCGCACUAAGUUUGGCAUCAAUAUGGUGACCUCCUUAAGCAGGGGACCACCAGCUUGCCCAAGAAGGGAUGAAUUGGCCCAGGGUGGAAACAGAGAAGGUCAAAACUUCAGCACUGAUCAGUAGUGGGAUCGAGCCUGUGAAUAGCUACUGUGCUCCAGCCUGGUCAACACAGCAAGAUCCCGUCUCU
ensembl:misc_RNA Metazoa_SRP Metazoan signal recognition particle RNA